UACGUAGGGUGCAAGCGUUUGUCCGGAAUUAUUGGGCGUAAAGAGCUCGUAGGCGGUCUGUCGCGUCUGCUGUGAAAACUCAGGGCUUAACCCUGAGCUUGCAGUGGGUACGGGCAGACUAGAGUGCGGUAGGGGAGACUGGAAUUCCUGGUGUAGCGGUGAAAUGCGCAGAUAUCAGGAGGAACACCGGUGGCGAAGGCGGGUCUCUGGGCCGUAACUGACGCUGGAGGAGCGGAAAGCAU
rnacentral:rRNA from 1 species